AGCAGAUGCUGACGCAAUGGUCUUGGACUUCCUGGCCUACGAUCCUUCUGGAUGACCAGCUUGCUGUUCUUGGAUAAGCUAAUUGAGAAGAAAAUAUAGAUAUUACCCCUUAUAAAGUUCACCAGAUGAGAGGAGAAAUGCAAAGAUGAUGCGUCCUUCAGAUCCCAGCCACGCUUUCUUCA